GCCGCCGUAGCUCAGCGCUCUGGGAGAGCGGCCGGCUGAAGACCGGCAGGUCCCGGGUUCAAGUCCCGGCGGCGGCACCA
rnacentral:tRNA from 1 species